AGAGUUUGAUCCUGGCUCAGAAUCAACGCUGGCGGCGUGCCUAACACAUGCAAGUCGAACGAGAAAGCGGGAGCAAUCCCGUGAGUAAAGUGGCGACCGGGUGAGUAACACGUGACUAACCUACCCUUGAGUGGGGAAUAACCUCGGGAAACCGGGGCUAAUACCGCAUAACAUCCCGGGCUGGAAUGCCUGGGAUCAAAGGAGCAAUUCGCUUAAGGAGGGGGUCGCGGCCGAUUAGCUAGUUGGCGGGGUAACGGCCCACCAAGGCGGUGAUCGGUAGCCGGCCUGAGAGGGCGCACGGCCACACUGGAACUGAAACACGGUCCAGACUCCUACGGGAGGCAGCAGUGGGGAAUUUUGCGCAAUGGGGGAAACCCUGACGCAGCAACGCCGCGUGGAGGAUGAAGUCCCUUGGGACGUAAACUCCUUUCGAUCGGGACGAUUAUGACGGUACCGGAAGAAGAAGCCCCGGCUAACUUCGUGCCAGCCGCCGCGGUAAUAC
rnacentral:rRNA from 1 species